CGGGUGAGUAACACGUGGGCAAUCUGCCCUGCACUCUGGGACAAGCCCUGGAAACGGGGUCUAAUACCGGAUACGAGUUUCACAGGCAUCUGUGAUUCUGGAAAGCUCCGGCGGUGCAGGAUGAGCCCGCGGCCUAUCAGCUUGUUGGUGAGGUAACGGCUCACCAAGGCGACGACGGGUAGCCGGCCUGAGAGGGCGACCGGCCACACUGGGACUGAGACACGGCCCAGACUCCUACGGGAGGCAGCAGUGGGGAAUAUUGCACAAUGGGCGCAAGCCUGAUGCAGCGACGCCGCGUGAGGGAUGACGGCCUUCGGGUUGUAAACCUCUUUCAGCAGGGAAGAAGCGAAAGUGACGGUACCUGCAGAAGAAGCGCCGGCUAACUACGUGCCAGCAGCCGCGGUAAUACGUAGGGCGCAAGCGUUGUCCGGAAUUAUUGGGCGUAAAGAGCUCGUAGGCGGCUUGUCGCGUCGGAUGUGAAAGCCCGGGGCUUAACCCCGGGUCUGCAUUCGAUACGGGCAGGCUAGAGUUCGGUAGGGGAGAUCGGAAUUCCUGGUGUAGCGGUGAAAUGCGCAGAUAUCAGGAGGAACACCGGGUGGCGGAGGCGGAUCUCUGGGCCGAUACUGACGCUGAGGAGCGAAAGCGUGGGGGAGCGAACAGGAUUAGAUACCCUGGUAGUCCACGCCGUAAACGGUGGGCACUAGGUGUGGGCAACAUUCCACGUUGUCCGUGCCGCAGCUAACGCAUUAAGUGCCCCGCCUGGGGGUACGGCCGCAAGGCUAAAACUCAAAGGAAUUGACGGGGCCCGCACAAGCGGCGGAGCAUGUGGCUUAUUUCGAACACAACGCGAGGAACCUUACCA
rnacentral:rRNA from 1 species